rnacentral:rRNA from 1 species
AUACGUAGGGUGCGAGCGUUAAUCGGAAUUACUGGGCGUAAAGCGUGCGCAGGCGGUUGUGUAAGACAGAUGUGAAAUCCCCGGGCUCAACCUGGGAACUGCGUUUGUGACUGCACAACUAGAGUACGGCAGAGGGAGGUGGAAUUCCGCGUGUAGCAGUGAAAUGCGUAGAGAUGCGGAGGAACACCGAUGGCGAAGGCAGCCUCCUGGGCCAGUACUGACGCUCAUGCACGAAAGCGUGGGGAGC